AAAGCACCCAGUAUGGGCAAAGGCCUGAAAAGUUUUAUGACAGGAGUGGUACCUGAAAACAGCCUUAAAAAGAGGACUGAACCAAGUUCACAAGAAAAGGAAACAAUCCCUGCCAAAACUAGCAACAGUUUUAGUGCAUUUACAAGACCAUGUCUCUUCUGCCACAAGGAGCACAGUCUAGACUCAUGUGAAAAGCUAAAGAGCAGCCAUCAUCAAGAGAAGCUCAACUUUCUGCGAUCCAAAGGGUUGUGCUUUGGUUGCCUAAAGCAAGGCCAUAUGAGUAAAAGUUGUAAAGAGAAGCUCAGUUGCAAGGUGUGCUCAUUGCUGCAUCCAACAUUAUUGCAUAUGAAGCACAAAGAGAAGCAUGUUCCCACAAAAAAGCUAUUAGAGGAAGAAGAAGCGCAAUCAGUCACCAGUGGAUUCAUAAGUGCUGAUACAGAGGCAAGUGAAUGUCCUGAGAAUAACAGUUCUGACUGCAUUCUGGCCAUCGUACCUGUUCGUGUCAAGACCAGGAAGGGCAGCAAGGUGACAAAAACAUAUGCUUUUCUGGACCCUGGGAGCUCUGCAAGUUUCUGUACUGAAGAGCUUAUGAGGGAACUCAAUGUCAGUGGACGGAGAACCGACAUACUGUUGCGUACGAUGGGGGAAGAAAAGUCUGUCACCAGUGAGAUUGUGUCAGGUUUGGAAAUUAGCAGUUUGGAUGAAAACAACUUCUUAACGCUGCCAGAUGUUUUUGCGCAGAAGACAAUUCCUGUGGGCAAGGAAAACAUUCCCUUGCAAAGGGAUGUGGAUAAGUGGUCUCAUUUGGAACAGGUACGACUUCCAAAGAUUGAUGCAGAAGUAGGGUUGCUGAUUGGGACAAACGUUCCGAAGGCUAUGGAGCCAUGGCAGGUAAUCAGCAGUGUGGAAAAUGGACCCUAUGCAGUGCGGACCAUGUUGGGCUGGGUGGUUAAUGGGCCUCUUAGAGAAGAUACAGCUGUAGACAAAAAAGGCGAUCAGAUCAUAGUGACAUCAAAUCGAAUAUCAGUUGCCAAGCUAGAUGACCUGUGGAAACAGCAGUUCCGUUUUGACUUUCCUGAAUGUGAUCAAGAGGAACAGCUGGACAUGUCAAGAGAAGAUCACCAUUUCAUUAAUCUUGUCUCACAGUCAGCAAAGCUGGUGGAUGGGCAUUACAGCAUUGGACUGCCUUUAAAAGAUAGAGCAGUUAUCAUGCCCAACAACCGACAUGUUGCAGAACAGCGUGCUCUCCACCUUAAGAGGAAGUUCAUGAAGAACAAGUCUUUUCAUGCAGACUACAGCGCAUUUAUGAGUGACAUAAUUUCCAAAGGGUAUGCUGUGCAAGUGCCUAAUGAAGAGUUGAACCGUAAUGAUGGGAAGGUGUGGUAUAUACCUCACCACGGUGUAUACCACCCCAAAAAGCAU
rnacentral:lncRNA from 1 species